rnacentral:lncRNA from 1 species
UAAUGAUGACAGUACAACUUGAUAAAUAUGUUCGUGCGUGUAGCGAAAGUCAGAAAUAGACUUGAUGAUUCUGCUGGAAAUGAAAUUGUUGAUUGCAAUAACUGCUUUUCCUGCUUAAUUGCAUGAUGUUUCUGGAACGAGUCUGAUGUUUGGUGCCUUAGCAGCAUGUCUUGUUGUAAUAUAUUUGGUUGUUGUUGCUGUAAUUGUCGUUGUGAAUCCUGUUGUGGCUCUUUUGCUCAAUUCACCUUCUCUAAAACAUAUAUUAUGAAACUUCACCAAAUUAAAC